UACGUAGGGUGCGAGCGUUAAUCGGAAUUACUGGGCGGAAAGCGUGCGCAGGCGGUUCGCUAAGACCGAUGUGAAAUCCCCGGGCUUAACCUGGGAACUGCAUUGGUGACUGGCGGGCUAGAGUGUGGCAGAGGGGGGUAGAAUUCCACGUGUAGCAGUGAAAUGCGUAGAGAUGUGGAGGAAUACCGAUGGCGAAGGCAGCCCCCUGGGCUAACACUGACGCUCAUGCACGAAAGCGUGGGGAGCAAACAGG
rnacentral:rRNA from 1 species